rnacentral:piRNA from 1 species
CCAUAGAUCUUGUGUGGAUUGCUUACGAC